rnacentral:rRNA from 1 species
UACGUAGGUGGCAAGCGUUGUCCGGAAUUAUUGGGCGUAAAGCGCGCGCAGGCGGCCUCUUAAGUCUGAUGUGAAAACCCCCGGCUCAACCGGGGAGGGCCAUUGGAAACUGGGAGGCUUGAGUAUAGGAGAGAAGAGUGGAAUUCCACGUGUAGCGGUGAAAUGCGUAGAGAUGUGGAGGAACACCAGUGGCGAAGGCGACUCUUUGGCCUAUAACUGACGCUGAGGCGCGAAAGCGUGGGGAGCAAACAGG